UACAAUGUUUUGAUUCUUCGUCUUAUUUAAAAAAUUUUUGUGUUUAAUAUUUUUAUUCUUACUAGAUAAUAAAACAUAAAUAAUGCGUGACUAAUUUUUAUAAGUUUUUUAACAAAAUUUUUAAAUAAGACGAAUGAUCAAAUAUUAGAUACGGAAA
rnacentral:pre_miRNA from 1 species